rnacentral:rRNA from 1 species
GAUGAACGCUGGCGGCGUGCCUAAUACAUGCAAGUCGAGCGAACGGACGAGAAGCUUGCUUCUCUGAUGUUAGCGGCGGACGGGUGAGUAACACGUGGAUAACCUACCUAUAAGACUGGGAUAACUUCGGGAAACCGUAGCUAAUACCGGAUAAUAUUUUGAACCGCAUGGUUCAAAAGUGAAAGACGGUCUUGCUGUCACUUAUAGAUGGAUCCGCGCUGCAUUAGCUAGUUGGUAAGGUAACGGCUUACCAAGGCAACGAUGCAUAGCCGACCUGAGAGGGUGAUAGGCCACACUGGAACUGAGACACGGUCCAGACUCCUACGGUAGGCAGCAGUAGGGAAUCUUCCGCAAUGGGCGAAAGCCUGACGGAGCGACGCCGCGUGAGUGAUGAAGGUCUUCGGAUCGUAAAACUCUGUUAUUAGGGAAGAACAUAUGUGUAAGUAACUGUGCACAUCUUGACGGUACCUAAUCAGAAAGCCACGGCUAACUACGUG